ensembl:misc_RNA
CAGCCACGGCCCCAGGGACCAACGCGCACGCCUCCGGGGCCGCGCUCUGGCGGUCACCCGGCGGCUGCUGACAACUGAAUAAACACUCCGAAGCACUGCGAUCUGUCAAGGGCUGGGGCCGCCA